UUUCAGAUUUCAAAUAGAAAGAUCAUGAAAGAUAUUUCAUUUCAGUAAGUUAAUACUUACGCUGAAACCCAUUUUUUUUAAAUUGAUGCAUAGUUGACAUACAGUGUUAUAUUAAUUUCAGGUGUACAACACAAUGAUUCAACAAGUCUGUACAUUACUCAGUGCUCACCAAGUAAUCUACACCCAACGAGGGGCUGGAACUCACAAUCCCAAGAUCAAGAGGUGUAUGCUCUACCAACUCAGCCAGCCAGUGGAAAUCCCAUGGCUGCCUCAAGAGGGAGAAGGACUUCAAAACAGGAGAGGCCGACCCAGUACCAGCAAGCCAUUCACCUAGCCUGAGGGGCCGUCCUUAUGAGCUGCUGCCCCACUUGAGGACUGACAGGAGCCUCAAAUCACUCAACAAAGAGGUCUAAGGCACAAUGAAAUUUACCUUCAUCUGUUGCCUUUUCUGUUUCAGCACUGACCAACAACUUGAAGCCACAGCCUAGAUAAAUGCAGAUGAGAAAAAGCAAGACUUAAAUUUACAACUAUAUAAACUUUGCAUUAGGAGUGAUUUUUAUUAGAAAUUAAUAGGUUAUAAGUCUAAAAUGUUCAAAGCAUUAACCACU